rnacentral:rRNA from 1 species
CUUCGGAUUGAUGGCGAGUGGCGGACGGGUGAGUAAUAUAUAGGAAUCUGCCUUGUAGUGGGGGAUAACUAUCCGAAAGGAUAGCUAAUACCGCAUAAUGAUUACGGUUUAAAGCAGGGGAUCUUCGGACCUUGCGCUACAAGUUGAGCCUAUACAAGAUUAGCUAGUUGGUGAGGUAAAGGCUCACCAAGGCGACGAUCUUUAGCUGGUCUGAGAGGAUGAUCAGCCACACUGGGACUGAGACACGGCCCAGACUCUUACGGGAGGCAGCAGUGGGGAAUAUUGGACAAUGGGCGCAAGCCUGAUCCAGCAAUACCGCGUGUGUGAAGAAGGCCUUCGGGUUGUAAAGCACUUUUGUUAGGGAGGAUGGUGAUUUUGGCGAAUACCCAAAGUCAUUGACGUUACCUAAAGAAUCAGCACCGGCUAACUCCGUGCCAGCAGCCGCGGUAAUACGGAGGGUGCAAGCGUUAAUCGGAUUUACUGGGCGUAAAGGGUGCGUAGGCGGUUACUUAAGUCAGAUGUGAAAUCCCCGGGCUCAACCUGGGAAUUGCAUUUGAUACUGGGUGACUUAGAAUGUGGUAGAGGGUAGCGGAAUUUCUGGUGUAGCGGUG